UGUCCGCUGCAAUUUCCAGCACUACUAACAGCUGUUAGAGUGAAUGCACCUGAUUUUUAUUAAUUGCGCAAGUUUGACGCUUAGUGACAAAACUUUUCGCGCUAGAAAAAGAAAAGGAAAGAGAAAGGCCCUGACACCAAAACAAUAACGCUAUUGCCCCCCUCUCUUGCACCACUGGAUUCUACCAUCGGGGUACUCCACGAACCGCCGCGCAGUGUCUCUCGUAGCUUUCGAGGUCGCUGGGUACGUUGCGCCCACAGCAUAUACGUUUUCUUUAGAUAUUUCCACUUUCGCAGGGAAAAACUCGGAACAAGCUAUAGUCAACGAUGGAUCACAAAAACAUCGACCGCACUCCACGAAAACGCAACUCGAACACGUGUGUAUGUGUGUGUGCGUGCGUGUUUCUUGUACAACAAUGCCACGAAAACGCAACGGGGUAAUUUGAGUCGUCGACCACUCAAAUCUAGAAGCAUGCAAGAUAACAGACCACAAAGGGCAGAUGAAGAUAGGCAACAAAGCAAUGCAGAUGUCCGUGUAAGCAUGGCUCAGUUACGUGUAUCACAAUCGCAAGAGGCACGAGAUGAGCGAAACCAGCAAAGCCAAUUCAGCGAAGAGAAGCGCGCAGAUUCGUAGUCAACAGCCGUAGAGGAAUUGACCGACAACGUCAACAAGUAAAUCGAGCAUAAAUGCUGUAAACAGCACAUUCAUUUCUUCACCUAGCAUUUCACCAUGAGCCUGAUAUUGAAUAUUACGCUCAUUCCAAAGUGGUCAUUGCUACAUUGGACAAGGAAUGCCCGCACUGUAUGUCUUUAAAUUUAAAAAGUAAUACUCCCAUAAAUUGAAACACCGCCGGAACCGGCACGGCUUCCUUAUUAGAACUGGACGCCGAAUGCGCACUAGCCAAUUUCGUGGAUUCCCGUUGCAACUAUAAUCACCUCAAUUCACCUUUUGCAACGCGCAUCGUCAGCGACCUGGACGCUCUGUUCAAUGAGCACAGUGAUUUGUUCAGACUGGAGGGCUGCAUGAGUGCCAAAAAAAAACCGUAACCGAAUUAACAAUGCUCAUAUUGAAACGAAAAUUGUAUGAGUGUGUGAGUGCGAUCGUAUAUGACUUAGACACACAAUAUUGUAUUGAGCGCCAAAGAAUAAAUAAGUUUUGAGCACGAGUAUAUGAUAAUAUUGAAAUUUAGAAUCAUUAUUUUAUUUAAGUUGUCAUUUUGCAUGAGCAUGGCAAGCCCCUUUCAAGAGCUUGAUAUACCCUCUAAAUGGAAAAGGGCAUAGAAAGAGACAGAGUAAGAAAAAAUAGACGCACAAUCAGGCUUCAUAUUCAAAUGCGUGCUUUACGCUUGAACGCCUCAAGUGACGGAGCCGAGCAAAUACGAAGUGUUGACACGAAGAUAUGUUUUGGUUAACUUUUGUAUUCCUCUUUAGGUCUUAUUUAUUCUCAUUCUUUUUACUAAAGGCAGGGAGAUAUGAGAUAUUGAGUGCAUGCGAUCUCCCACUCAGUCAAAACAUUUUAUCCUAUCACUCACUCACUCAGUCUCAAUUCGAGUGCACUCUAUUUUACUAGGUUAUGAGUGCGGCCAUGCAGCUGUCUAGUUCAGACCUACCCGACCUGCACACAAAAUUUCGUGAGAAUCGGUUCACCCGUUUCGGAGGAGUUUGGCAACAAACACCGCAACACGAGAAUUUUAUAUUGUUCAUGCACAUGCAUGAACAUAGAAAUAUGAUAAGUAUGGGAACAUACAUAACAACAACAGCUAGCAUACAUAAAAUAGAUAACACAUGUGAAUGUGUGAACUGUCGAACUAGAAAUAAAAUAUGACUCUGACCCUUA